GGGGAUGAUCCGGUUUCGACGGGGGUUGUCGAGGGCGGGAUAAGCGAGCCGUGGCCCCUGACCACGAUAAAACGGGGAACUUAAAUGUAACUGACAAUAAUCAGUACGCUUUCGCUGCCUAAUUAGGCGCGACGCUGGCCCGGUCUGCCCGCUUGACCGGUUCCCAGCGCCAUUCAAGCGGGGAACGAGCGUAUGUAAGCUUUGCCAUGCGUCCGUAACAUGAAGCUACCAAUCGCUGAAGCCUGACUGCGGGCGUCAUCGUGCGGGAAUUUCAAAUCACAGUCUGCGCUCGGAGAAGGUCCUGCAAGCGAGCCUUCGGACAGGGGUUCGACUCCCCUCAUCUCCACUU
rfam:Faecalibacterium sp. CAG:74 genomic scaffold, scf369